rnacentral:tRNA from 1 species
AGUCUCAUGGUGUAAUGGUAGCACAACAGUUUUUGGUACUGUUUGUCUAAGUUCGAAUCUUGGUGAGACUG